GGGUUGUGAGGUUAAGCGACUAAGCGUACACGGUGGAUGCCCUGGCAGUCAGAGGCGAUGAAGGACGUGCUAAUCUGCGAUAAGCGUCGGUAAGGUGAUAUGAACCGUUAUAACCGGCGAUUUCCGAAUGGGGAAACCCAGUGUGAUUCGUCACACUAUCAUUAACUGAAUCCAUAGGUUAAUGAGGCGAACCGGGGGAACUGAAACAUCUAAGUACCCCGAGGAAAAGAAAUCAACCGAGAUUCCCCCAGUAGCGGCGAGCGAACGGGGAGGAGCCCAGAGCCUGAAUCAGUGUGUGUGUUAGUGGAAGCGUCUGGAAAGGCGCGCGAUACAGGGUGACAGCCCCGUACACAAAAAUGCACAUGCUGUGAGCUCGAUGAGUAGGGCGGGACACGUGGUAUCCUGUCUGAAUAUGGGGGGACCAUCCUCCAAGGCUAAAUACUCCUGACUGACCGAUAGUGAACCAGUACCGUGAGGGAAAGGCGAAAAGAACCCCGGCGAGGGGAGUGAAAAAGAACCUGAAACCGUGUACGUACAAGCAGUAGGAGCACAGAGCAAUCUGUGUGACUGCGUACCUUUUGUAUAAUGGGUCAGCGACUUAUAUUCUGUAGCAAGGUUAACCGAAUAGGGGAGCCGAAGGGAAACCGAGUCUUAACUGGGCGUUAAGUUGCAGGGUAUAGACCCGAAACCCGGUGAUCUAGCCAUGGGCAGGUUGAAGGUUGGGUAACACUAACUGGAGGACCGAACCGACUAAUGUUGAAAAAUUAGCGGAUGACUUGUGGCUGGGGGUGAAAGGCCAAUCAAACCGGGAGAUAGCUGGUUCUCCCCGAAAGCUAUUUAGGUAGCGCCUCGUGAAUUCAUCUCCGGGGGUAGAGCACUGUUUCGGCAAGGGGGUCAUCCCGACUUACCAACCCGAUGCAAACUGCGAAUACCGGAGAAUGUUAUCACGGGAGACACACGGCGGGUGCUAACGUCCGUCGUGAAGAGGGAAACAACCCAGACCGCCAGCUAAGGUCCCAAAGUCAUGGUUAAGUGGGAAACGAUGUGGGAAGGCCCAGACAGCCAGGAUGUUGGCUUAGAAGCAGCCAUCAUUUAAAGAAAGCGUAAUAGCUCACUGGUCGAGUCGGCCUGCGCGGAAGAUGUAACGGGGCUAAACCAUGCACCGAAGCUGCGGCAGCGACACUGUGUGUUGUUGGGUAGGGGAGCGUUCUGUAAGCCUGUGAAGGUGUGCUGUGAGGCAUGCUGGAGGUAUCAGAAGUGCGAAUGCUGACAUAAGUAACGAUAAAGCGGGUGAAAAGCCCGCUCGCCGGAAGACCAAGGGUUCCUGUCCAACGUUAAUCGGGGCAGGGUGAGUCGACCCCUAAGGCGAGGCCGAAAGGCGUAGUCGAUGGGAAACAGGUUAAUAUUCCUGUACUUGGUGUUACUGCGAAGGGGGGACGGAGAAGGCUAUGUUGGCCGGGCGACGGUUGUCCCGGUUUAAGCGUGUAGGCUGGUUUUCCAGGCAAAUCCGGAAAAUCAAGGCUGAGGCGUGAUGACGAGGCACUACGGUGCUGAAGCAACAAAUGCCCUGCUUCCAGGAAAAGCCUCUAAGCAUCAGGUAACAUCAAAUCGUACCCCAAACCGACACAGGUGGUCAGGUAGAGAAUACCAAGGCGCUUGAGAGAACUCGGGUGAAGGAACUAGGCAAAAUGGUGCCGUAACUUCGGGAGAAGGCACGCUGAUAUGUAGGUGAAGUCCCUCGCGGAUGGAGCUGAAAUCAGUCGAAGAUACCAGCUGGCUGCAACUGUUUAUUAAAAACACAGCACUGUGCAAACACGAAAGUGGACGUAUACGGUGUGACGCCUGCCCGGUGCCGGAAGGUUAAUUGAUGGGGUCAGCGCAAGCGAAGCUCUUGAUCGAAGCCCCGGUAAACGGCGGCCGUAACUAUAACGGUCCUAAGGUAGCGAAAUUCCUUGUCGGGUAAGUUCCGACCUGCACGAAUGGCGUAAUGAUGGCCAGGCUGUCUCCACCCGAGACUCAGUGAAAUUGAACUCGCUGUGAAGAUGCAGUGUACCCGCGGCAAGACGGAAAGACCCCGUGAACCUUUACUAUAGCUUGACACUGAACAUUGAGCCUUGAUGUGUAGGAUAGGUGGGAGGCUUUGAAGUGUGGACGCCAGUCUGCAUGGAGCCGACCUUGAAAUACCACCCUUUAAUGUUUGAUGUUCUAACGUGGACCCGUGAUCCGGGUUGCGGACAGUGUCUGGUGGGUAGUUUGACUGGGGCGGUCUCCUCCUAAAGAGUAACGGAGGAGCACGAAGGUUGGCUAAUCCUGGUCGGACAUCAGGAGGUUAGUGCAAUGGCAUAAGCCAGCUUGACUGCGAGCGUGACGGCGCGAGCAGGUGCGAAAGCAGGUCAUAGUGAUCCGGUGGUUCUGAAUGGAAGGGCCAUCGCUCAACGGAUAAAAGGUACUCCGGGGAUAACAGGCUGAUACCGCCCAAGAGUUCAUAUCGACGGCGGUGUUUGGCACCUCGAUGUCGGCUCAUCACAUCCUGGGGCUGAAGUAGGUCCCAAGGGUAUGGCUGUUCGCCAUUUAAAGUGGUACGCGAGCUGGGUUUAGAACGUCGUGAGACAGUUCGGUCCCUAUCUGCCGUGGGCGCUGGAGAACUGAGGGGGGCUGCUCCUAGUACGAGAGGACCGGAGUGGACGCAUCACUGGUGUUCGGGUUGUCAUGCCAAUGGCACUGCCCGGUAGCUAAAUGCGGAAGAGAUAAGUGCUGAAAGCAUCUAAGCACGAAACUUGCCCCGAGAUGAGUUCUCCCUGACCCUUUAAGGGUCCUGAAGGAACGUUGAAGACGACGACGUUGAUAGGCCGGGUGUGUAAGCGCAGCGAUGCGUUGAGCUAACCGGUACUAAUGAACCGUGAGGCUUAACCUUACAACGCCGAAGGUGUUU
rnacentral:rRNA from 1 species